AUUGAACGCUGGCGGCAGGCCUAACACAUGAAAGUCGAGCGGAGCGGCGGACGGGUGAGUAAUGCCUAGGCAUCUGCCUGGACGUGGGGGAUAACGACCGGCAACGGGCGCUAAUACCGCAUACUAUCAGAUGAGACUAGGGCGGAUUAGCUAGUUGGUGGGGUAAAGGCCUACCAAGGCGACGAUCCCUAACUGGUCUGAGAGGAUGAUCAGUAACACUGGAAUUGAGACACGGUCCAGACUCCUACGGGAGGCAGCAGUGGGGAAUAUUGGACAAUGGGCGAAAGCCUGAUCCAGCCAUGCCGCGUGUGUGAAGAAGGUCUUCGGUUUGUAAAGCACUUUAAGUUGGGAGGCGUUACCAACAGAAUAAGCACCGGCUAACUUCGUGCCAGCCGCCGCGGUAAUAC
rnacentral:rRNA from 1 species